CAGGACUGCGUUGCAUUUGAGAUGUUGUAAUCUGAUUGUGGUCAAUGGAGUUUCCUCUGUACUUUGGAUUCUGCAAAAGGGACCAUUCCUGGCUUAAUGGCAGAAGGAGGACUCCUGAAGCCUCCGAAGGAAGGAAAUCAUUACAGGGCCCUACACAAGUAGGUCAUGUGUUGUAGCUGCUCAUAGUUUAAGAGGAAGAAACACGGGACCUCAAACCUGGAACACGACUCUUUCAAAAUGCUUGUGAGCAGCCCAAGAAAAACAUCCUCCCGGGGCUUAUCUGAGAACCAUCUUCUCUAAUCGUCUCAAUGUGUCUCAUGUUUCCUUAGGAGUUUGCACCUACUUCCCAGAGCUAACGAGAUGCCGAAACAGAACACAGAAAACUGUAAUGAAGGGGAUUUAAUAGUUUGUGUUGAAGCUAAUAGGGUCCAUUAGGAGCUGUCAUUUUUAUAAACAAUGACGAUAUGCUACCCUCUUCUUUGGUGUAAAGUUGUUUCAUGCAGGACCCGUAAACAUUCCGUAAUGACCUAUGGAAAUGCAUGAGCAAGAAGCGAAGUACCAUUUGAAACAUGUGUUUUCCUCACAUAUUACGUUUCUUAGGAAAGAAACUCCCAGAGAUCAUACAUGUGCAGGCAUACACACAUGUUGUGAAGACAUAACACGUGUGUGCAUUGCAUCAAGAAAAUCGAAGAGCAGACAGCUCUCAAGCGCUUUUGGGUUCUGUAAGCUUGAGAAGUACCCAGAAUGAUUCAUUGGAUUAGGAAUACAGUUUCCAUUCUUUAAUUCAAACGUUGAUCAUGAAACAGUCACUCUUGUGGUAGUCUACCGAGACAUGACAGUACCGGAUCAUGGUGGUGCCCAGGAAGGCACAGCUGCCACUUUCCCAGUCAGCUGUGAGUAACCUGUCCCACAACCUCGGUCACAUAUGUUUCACUACAAUUUGGAUACCUUGUGUUGAAAUUUAUUUUUCAGUUGCAGCAGAUACAAAGAAAUGGUUUAUUCUUUGAGAUUCACUGAAAUAUACCCAAAGAAAACGAAAUCUGA